GUUAGAUGAUUUGAAUUAAAAAGCUGAUGUUCUCUAGGGUAUGAUAAUAAUAGCAUGUUAAGGGUUCUGAUGGCA
rnacentral:snoRNA from 1 species